rnacentral:tRNA from 1 species
GCCGAGGUGGCGGAACUGGUAGACGCGCGGGACUCAAAAUCCCGUGGUGGCAACACCGUGAGGGUUCAAGUCCCUCCCUCGGUACCA